UUCCCAGUGUAGCGGUGAAAUGCGUAGAUAUUGGGAAGAACAUCGGUGGCGAAGGCGUGCUACUGGACCGUAACUGACACUCAGGGACGAAAGCUAGGGGAGCGAAAGGGAUUAGAUACCCCUGUAGUCCUAGCUGUAAACGAUGGAAACUAGGUGUGGCUUGUAUCGACCCGAGCCGUGCCGUAGCUAACGCGUUAAGUUUCCCGCCUGGGGAGUACGCACGCAAGUGUGAAACUCAAAGGAAUUGACGGGGGCCCGCACAAGCGGUGGAGUAUGUGGUUUAAUUCGAUGCAACGCGAAGAACCUUACCAGGGCUUGACAUGUCGCGAAUCUCGGUGAAAGCUGAGAGUGCCUUCGGGAGCGCGAACACAGGUGGUGCAUGGCUGUCGUCAGCUCGUGUCGUGAGAUGUUGGGUUAAGUCCCGCAACGAGCGCAACCCUUAUUUUUAGUUGCCAGCAUUAAGAUGGGCACUCUAGAAAGACUGCCGGUGACAAACCGGAGGAAGGUGAGGACGACGUCAAGUCAGCAUGCCCCUUACGCCCUGGGCUACACACGUACUACAAUGGUUGGGACAAAGGGCAGCGACUCCGCAAGGAAUAGCGAAUCUCAUCAAACCCAGCCUCAGUUCAGAUUGCAGGCUGCAACUCGCCUGCAUGAAGGAGGAAUCGCUAGUAAUCGCAGGUCAGCAUACUGCGGUGAAUUCGUUCCCGGGCCUUGUACACACCGCCCGUCACACCAUGGAAGCUGGUCACGCCCGAAGUAGUUACCCUAACCUUUCGAGGAGGGGGAUUCCUAAGGCAGGGCUAGUGACUGGGGUGAAGUCGUAACAAGGUAGCCAAGGGCGAAUUCUG
rnacentral:rRNA from 1 species